rnacentral:rRNA from 1 species
CCUACGGGAGGCAGCAGUAAGGAAUAUUGGACAAUGCCCGCAAGGGUGAUCCAGCUAUGCCGCGUGCAGGAAGAAGGCCCUAUGGGUCGUAAACUGCUUUUACACCGGAGAAAACCUCCCUUCGUGAAGGGAGCUGAUAGUAUGGUGAGAAUAAGCAUCGGCUAACUUCGUGCCAGCAGCCGCGGUAAGACGAAGGAUGCAAGCGUUAUCCGGAUUCAUUGGGUUUAAAGGGAGCGUAGGUGGACUGAUAAGUCAGUGGUGAAAUCUUCGAGCUUAACUCGGAAAUUGCCAUUGAUACUGUUAGUCUUGAGUACAGUUGCUGUGGGCGGAAUAUGACAUGUAGUGGUGAAAUACAUAGAGAUGUCAUAGAACACCGAUUGCGAAGGCAGCUCACAAAGCUGUAACUGACACUGAGGCUCGAAAGUGCGGGGAUCAAACAGGAUUAGAUACCCUGGUAGUCCGCACUGUAAACGAUGAUUACUCGCUGCUAAGGAGGCUACGUUUAGUGUCUUAGCGAAGCGUAAGUAAGUAAUUCCGACGUGGGGAGUUACGGCCGGCGACGGUUGAAACGUUAAGAGUUAGUUACGGACGNGAGAGAGCGACGACGACGACGAGGAGGAGGAG